UGUGAUCCGACCCGAUAUGGGUUUCGUUUCGCUAGCGCCAAGGGACCCGAGCCGUUGAGAAGCUUAAUUUAAAUGACAUGAAUUUGGACGCGUGGCAUCAACUCCGUCACCGAUGCCUCAAAGUCACCCACGCGGUUCAACAAACAAAAUAUCACCUUAUUGCAGCACACAGAUUUGCGACACGUAAGACUCUUUCUGUGGGGACCAUCUUACUAGAUUCCCGUGUACAAUUAAUUUAUUAUUACUUAUUAAUUUAAAAAUAUAUGAAAUUUAAAUCUAGAGAAUGACCUAAACAACUUAGCUCUUAAGAAAAUGGGAGUGAAAGAAGAAACGAUCUUACACGGUGAUAAAUUUGACUAAAAUAGCCGGCCCGGCCCGGCCCGGCCCAUUAUUAAAAAAGGUUGUGGAAUUUGGUAAUAGACAAUUAGCAGAAUCUUCGGGGUGCAUGUAAAGCAAAAGUGGGAGCAGUGUACGUGAUACGUGUCCCACAUCCAUGAGAAAACCCUCUGAUUCAUUUCAUUGGUAUCAACACCUCGCCACUGUGGAGUUUACUUUCAAGAUGAAAUCAAUAUCAUUGUUAGUGUUAACAAAAAAAAUACAUUUAUCAAGAUAAUGCUUACACCAUCGUAUCAUAUGUUGAUGUUAUAGCCCAGUAUGAAUAGUAUAUUUUGAUCUUCGACUCGUAUCAGUCACUUUUGAUCUUUGGUCCAAGUAAGUUUGUUUUACUGGAGCAAAUUGGUGCAAAGUUGUCAUUAUCAGCAUUUCCUCAACUUCUAAGAGGUGAUUUGUCAAACAGAGGAAGGGCACACCAAAUAAAAUUCUGACGUGAUCAAUCGGUAGGAUCGAAAAGAGUUGACAAACAAGGUAUUGAUCCAAUUCCAUACUUUAAUUGGAGAAAAAGAAAUCCCACACUUUGACUGAUUGAUUGAUUAUUUAUUUAUAAAUUUCUUUAUGUUUUUGAAUUAGCAUAAUGUUUAAGAUAAGAUGAAUCUACUUCCUUUGCCGACUUUGUUCAUGUCCUAACACAAAGAGCCAGCGCCUCCCAAGACAGAUAAAUAAUUCAACGUAAGCGCGAAAAGUAGAAAACAAUGAUUUUAUAUAUACGAACUUGUGAUCCAGCGUAAAAAAAAAAUAAGGAAAUAAUGCAACAAUCAUUCAAUGAAGGAAAACCAAUGACUAUGAGGAAAAGAAGUCCAAAGGAGAUUUAUGUAUCUUAUUGCUAACUUGGUUGUUGAGAAUGAGGGCGGUACAACCACCCUAGUUGGAGAAGGCAGAGAAAGCAGGGCAGGGAUGAAAAGCAAAAGGGGUUGGUGGAGUUGCUGAACUAUGUGUCUUCUUGUUUCUGCGUGUUGUGUGGUUACUCUCUUGCUAUUGCAUCCUAGAUCUAUAUAUUCAUGUUUCAAUGGAAAACUGGUAUUAUGGACAUUUGGAAUGGAACAAUGUUAUGUUAUUUAUUCGAUAA